AGUGAACGCUGGCGGUAGGCCUAACACAUGCAAGUCGAACGGCAGCACAGUAAGAGCUUGCUCUUACGGGUGGCGAGUGGCGGACGGGUGAGGAAUACAUCGGAAUCUACUUUUUCGUGGGGGAUAACGUAGGGAAACUUACGCUAAUACCGCAUACGACCUACGGGUGAAAGCAGGGGAUCUUCGGACCUUGCGCGAUUGAAUGAGCCGAUGUCGGAUUAGCUAGUUGGCGGGGUAAAGGCCCACCAAGGCGACGAUCCGUAGCUGGUCUGAGAGGAUGGUCAGCCACACUGGAACUGGGACACGGUCCAGACUCCUACGGGAGGCAGCAGUGGGGAAUAUUGGACAAUGGGCGCAAGCCUGAUCCAGCCAUACCGCGUGGGUGAAGAAGGCCCUCGGGUUGUAAAGCCCUUUUGUUGGGAAAGAAAAGCAGCAGGUUAAUACCCCGCUGUUCUGACGGUACCCAAAGAAUAAGCACCGGCUAACUUCGUG
rnacentral:rRNA from 1 species